rnacentral:rRNA from 1 species
AUUGAACGCUGGCGGCGUGCCUAACACAUGCAAGUCGAGCGGUAACAGGCGUAGCAAUACGUGCUGACGAGCGGCGGACGGGUGAGUAAUGCUUGGGAAUCUUCCCGGUAGUGGGGAACAACCAACCGAAAGGUUGGCUAAUACCGCAUACGUUCUACGGAAGAAAGCGGGGACCGUAAGGCCUCGCGCUAUCGGAUGAGCCCAAGUCGGAUUAGCUAGUUGGCGGGGUAAGUGGCCCACCCAAGGCGACAAUCCGUAGCUGGUCUGAGAGGACGACCAGCCACACUGGGACUGAGACACGGCCCAGACUCCUACGGGAGGCAGCAGUGGGGAAUCUUGCGCAAUGGGCGAAAGCCUGACGCAGCGACGCCGCGUGAGGGAUGACGGCCU